rnacentral:rRNA from 1 species
UACGUAGGGUGCGAGCGUUGUCCGGAAUUACUGGGCAUAAAGAGCUCGUAGGUGGUUUGUCGCGUUGUUCGUGAAAACUCACAACUCAAUUGUGGGCGUGCGGGCGAUACGGGCAGACUGGAGUACUGCAGGGGAGACUGGAAUUCCUGGUGUAGCGGUGGAAUGCGCAGAUAUCAGGAGGAACACCGGUGGCGAAGGCGGGUCUCUGGGCAGUAACUGACGCUGAGGAGCGAAAGCGUGGGGAGCGAACAGG